AGAGUUUGAUCCUGGCUCAGGAUGAACGCUGGCGGCGUGCCUAAUACAUGCAAGUCGAGCGAACUGAUUAGAAGCUUGCUUCUAUGACGUUAGCGGCGGACGGGUGAGUAACACGUGGGCAACCUGCCUGUAAGACUGGGAUAACUUCGGGAAACCGAAGCUAAUACCGGAUAGGAUCUUCUCCUUCAUGGGAGAUGAUUGAAAGAUGGUUUCGGCUAUCACUUACAGAUGGGCCCGCGGUGCAUUAGCUAGUUGGUGAGGUAACGGCUCACCAAGGCAACGAUGCAUAGCCGACCUGAGAGGGUGAUCGGCCACACUGGGACUGAGCCACGGCCCAGACUCCUACGGGAGGCAGCAGUAGGGAAUCUUCCGCAAUGGACGAAAGUCUGACGGAGCAACGCCGCGUGAGUGAUGAAGGCUUUCGGGUCGUAAAACUCUGUUGUUAGGGAAGAACAAGUACAAGAGUAACUGCUCGUACCUUGACGGUACCUAACCAGAAAGCCACGGCUAACUACGUGCCAGCAGCCGCGGUAAUAC
rnacentral:rRNA from 1 species